rnacentral:rRNA from 1 species
UACGUAGGGUGCAAGCGUUGUCCGGAAUUAUUGGGCGUAAAGAGCUCGUAGGCGGUUUGUCGCGUCUGCUGUGAAAACCCAGGGCUUAACCCUGGGCCUGCAGUGGGUACGGGCAGACUAGAGUGCGGUAGGGGAGAUCGGAGUUCCUGGUGUAGCGGUGAAAUGCGCAGAUAUCAGGAGGAACACCGGUGGCGAAGGCGGCUCACUGGCCCGAUACUGACGCUGAGGCACGAAAGCGUGGGGAGCAAACAGG